rfam:Triticum aestivum genome assembly, contig: Triticum_aestivum_CS42_TGACv1_scaffold_129650_2BL
AAAGUACUCCAUCCAUCCCCAAAUUCUUGUCUUAGCUUUGUCUAGAUACGGAUGUAUCAAGUCAUAUUUUAGUAUUAGAGACAUAUGUAUCUAGACAAAUCUAAGACAAGAAUUUUGGGACAAAGGGAGUAGUUG